AUGAGAAUAGGUCCCGGUUCAAGUGGACCGCCUUUCAUCAUCAUCUAUACAUGCCACGCACGAUCCCAUAGGAACGAUUUCAUCGCCCUAAGAAGCAGAACGCGCCAUCACCUACAGCCCUUUCCUCUGCCGGGGACUUUCACGAAAUGA
rnacentral:rRNA from 1 species